UAUUAAAGGUCCAACCUGCCCAGUGAAUUAAUUUUUAACGGCCGCGGUAUCCUAACCGUGCAAAGGUAGCAUAAUCACUUGUCUCCUAAAUAGAGACUUGUAUGAACGGUUAAAUGAGGGCCUAACUGUCUCCUGUAGCCAAUCAAUGAAAUUGAUCUCACAGUACAAAAGCUGUUAUACAUAUAUAAGACGAGAAGACCCUGUGGAGCUUUAAAUUUUAACAUUAGCCAUAAUUAUUAAACUUAAUAUUAGCAUAAUGUAAAUUUUAAGUUGGGGCGACUAUGGAGAAAAAAUUAACCUCCAUGAAAUAUGACUAAUCAUCAUCAUGUAAGGCCAACAAGCCCAACAAAAAAAGUCCGACCCAGUAAAACUGACCAACGAACCAAGUUACCCCAGGGAUAACAGCGCCAUCCCCUUAAAGAGUCCACAUCGCCCANGGGGUUUACGACCUCGGAUGUUGGAUCAGGACACCCNAGUGGUGCAGCAGCUACUAAAGGUUCGUUUGGUCAACGAA
rnacentral:rRNA from 1 species